GGGAAUGUGGCUCAGUGGUAGAGUGCUUGCCUAGCAUGCAUGAAACUCUGGGUUUGAUUCCUCAGUACCA
rnacentral:tRNA from 1 species